AUCUCCUUAAAUAUCCCUGCAGUCUGCUCGCGUCCAUUAUGCACGUUCAUCAUGCCUAGUUUAAUAACUCUGGAUUCGGCUACUAGUAAAUGUUAAAAAUGUUAAAAACGUGACAUUUUAAACAAGGACUCUUUAAGUGUUCGGUCUGGUAAGUUGAUGUACCCCAAAAA